CAGUCGCCACGGGAAUACGGAGGGCGCGAGCGUUACCCGGAUUUACUGGGCGUAAAGGGCGUGUAGGCGGCCUGGGGCGUUCCAUGUGAAAGGCCACGGCUCAACCGUGAGGAGCGUGGGAUACGCCCAGGCUAGAGGGUGGGAGAGGGUGGUGGAAUUCCCGGAGUAGCGGUGAAAUGCGCAGAUACCGGGAGGAACGCCGAUGGCGAAGGCAGCCACCUGGUCCACUUCUGACGCUGAGGCGCGAAAGCGUGGGGAGCAAACCGGACUAGAGACCCCGGUAGUCCCUGUCUCUUAUACC
rnacentral:rRNA from 1 species